rnacentral:rRNA from 1 species
AAUGAACGCUGGCGGCAUGCCUAACACAUGCAAGUCGAACGAUCCCUUCGGGGAUAGUGGCGCACGGGUGCGUAACGCGUGGGAACCUGCCCUUAGGUUCGGAAUAACUCAGAGAAAUUUGUGCUAAUACCGGAUAAUGUCUUCGGACCAAAGAUUUAUCGCCUUUGGAUGGGCCCGCGUUGGAUUAGCUAGUUGGUGUGGUAAAGGCCUACCAAGGCGACGAUCCAUAGCUGGUCUGAGAGGAUGGUCAGCCACACUGGGACUGAGACACGGCCCAGACUCCUACGGGAGGCAGCAGUGGGGAAUAUUGGAAAGUGGGGGAAAGCCUGAUCCAGCAAUGACGGGUGAGUGAUGAAGGCCUUGAGGUUGUAAAGCUCUUUUACCCGGGAUGAUAAUGACAGUACCGGGAGAAUAAGCCCCGGCUAACUCCGUG